CCUCACAAGACAAGGGGACCAAGCAAUUGCCUACAGCUACACGGAGUCGGGAGUGCGACUGAAGAGAACCCAGCAGUCCCACCUUCUCUAAUGCUACACCCUCAACGCCCAGACUCUGCGUUUCCCAAUGUUGUGGGGUUGCUGCUGUCAGGGCUUCACAGAAGAGAAGAGUUUUAAGGGGGGAGCUGAAGGACAGUGAGAUGGCUUGGUGACUGGAGAACUGGAAGGAUUGUGGCAUCAGAAGCACAUAGGAAGCUCCAUGUUUGAGGACUUGGCGCUGAUGUUGUUACAGUGUGAAACCAGGCCCGGAUCCUGCUGACUGAGAAUCUCCUGGCAUGGUGUGUCUCAGGGUCAGAGAAGAGCCAAGUGUACUUGUCUCAGGCAUUAGGACAACACUUACAAGUGGCAUGUGAAUAGAAGCAGCCUGGGAUUCAGAUGAGGGGAGGCGAAGGGUUCAUGAAGAGAGAUGCAACGAGUGACUUCUAAGGGAGACAAACCAAACACAAUUCUUUCUGAAUGAGCCUGGGGAAAGUUUCCUUUUGGACACCUCGGAGAGACCCACCAAUGUUCUGAUUUGGGCAAGUCGCUGGUGCCACAUAUGCUAAGUCUGGAUAUGAGAGGGAAGACAAGCUUCAUGUGAGGGGCUUUCAGACAGCUAGGGAGAGGCCCUGGGUCCGAGGAAAGAAUGCUGGCUCAAGCUCCGAGCCAAGAUUGAGAUUCCCUUGGCACAGGGCUAAUCUGCCAGUGGACACAGAGGAGGUCCAACCACCAGAGACAGCAUAAGCCGUUCUAACAGCUGGCUGUUGGCAAACACAGCUGAGCACAGCUUCCCAUUGUCUAAUCUCUAACAAGGCAGGUAGGCUGGAGGAAGGAUAGUCCCAUGGAUAGGGGGUUAGCCCGGGGCUUAUGCCUCGUUCUGCCUCAGAGUUCCUGUGUCACUUUGGCCCAGGCCUUCAAAGUUUUUGAACACGUAUCUCCCAUUAAUUUCAAUGGGAGUGGGGGCUCUUAAAUACCUUCCAGGAUCUGGGUCCUUGUCUCUCGGGGGCCUGAUUCCAACAUGGAGGUGGAACCAUCGAGUUUGUUGCUAUGAAACAUAGCGGGGGGGUUAGUUUGCUGUCUGCCUCACCUAGAGUUCUCCUGCUGUGUCACAAGCCCAUGAGGACCUUUUGAAGCCCCAAAGGGGAAAAAGCAUCGCUUUCCUGCAGCGCAUGCAAGGGAUAGUUCAGAGAUUCCUCCUGGAUCUAACAGGACUUUAAGGGCCAGAUUCUGGUACCCUUAGCCUGAACCAUACAUUACAAAUAGCCUCACGGAAGUCAGUGGAGUGAGGUGCUAUUCAGCACAAGUAAAGAUAUCAGAAUCUGGCCUACGGCUGCAAACACUGGGCCAGACCCUCAGCUGCUGUCAGUCAGGCAAGCAACAUUGAGUUUAGUAGAGCUGCAGUAAUUUACAUCAGCUGCGGAUCUGGCCCAUUGGUAGCACAAUGAACAGAAUGAUCUGUUUUGGAAGGGUGGGUGUGUGUGUGUGUGUGAGAGAGAGUGAGAGAGAGAAAAAAAGACAAACCUCGUUCUCUCUCUGUCUAUUGACCUGUUUCUUGUGCCUGGGACACUGUGAAAGCUCUGAACCCCAUCUCACAAUCCUACCUCGGUGACAUUUAUAUUAAAUUGGGCACAGAUUGAGAGGUGCUGGCUUCAUGGCCCUGGUUCUCUGCUAUGCCUCGAGCAGCUGCAGAGCAAACAUCCCUCACACCCUGUCCUACCAACAUGCUUCAGGCCUGACCUGCGGGCUCCCCCAGCUAGGUCUCACAGUGGGGUUCAACAUGCAUAAGUCAGUCGGUCCUUGAUUUCUCUACCAGCAUGGGCGGUAUGGAGUGCCAGUUGUCACGGUGAUGGUUUGGUGAUGUAAUAUGGAGAGCUGUCCACUAGGAACUGCACUGAGACCAACUCAUUGCACACAGGUGGGCUUGGCAGAAUUUGAUUCUUGUUUUGUGUGAUUUUGACAAAUAAUAUCAAUUUUUAUUUUUAGAUUUUUAUCUAGUUAAAUCUUCACUGUUGCGGGAAAUUCUGGGAGGAAGGUCAGACAAGGGCUG